GCACUCUUCUCCCCCGAGGUCAGGGUGGGGGGGGGGUGCUGAAGGUUCCCACCCCACAGUAGAAAAGAACCACUGUGCUGGCAAAUCCAUAACCCAGUUAUCAUUGUCUGCUUUCUUAGUAACUGCAAGGAAUUAUGCCAGCACUAAUUUAUAUACUGUGUCUGACCCUAUUCAGGGAACACAGGUGUGCAGAGCCCUGAGGAGAGCUUUUGAAAGGGAUCGUCAUAUAAAUGUUGAGCCUUGGGAAAUGAAGUCAUGCAAAAUGGAACAAGAAUUUAUCAAGAAUUUCUCAGCAUUGUCAGCCGCUAGGCUGUUCCCAUGGUUACUGUAUUGGUUCUUUGUGAACUUCCCAGAUCUUCCCUUUCCAUGGAUGUUAGAAGAGCAAGAUACUUGGGAACUAUGACAUUUUUUCUUAACCAUUUCUUCCUUUUUUUGUAUGUCUUAUAAUAAUUUAUCACAUUAUGGUUGAUGACACUUCAUCAUGAAUAUCACAUAUGAUUUAGAAGUUUUUUUCUCUUUUUGUCACAUUCAAAGUGGCAGCAUUGAUGUUCUCCUUUCUGUUCUGGUUUGGUGAGUUCCUAAAGGACUUGUGUAAAAACAUAGUGGCCUAAAGGAAAUAAAAUAACUCAACAG
rnacentral:lncRNA from 1 species